rnacentral:rRNA from 1 species
UACAGAGGUCUCAAGCAUUGUUCGGAUUCAUUGGGCGUAAAGGGAGCGUAGGCGGCGCGGUAAGUCGGGUGUGAAAUCUCGGGGCUUAACUCCGAAACUGCAUUCGAUACUGCCGUGAUUGAGGACUGGAGAGGAGACUGGAAUUUACGGUGUAGCGGUGAAAUGCGUAGAUAUCGGGAGGAACACCGGUGGCGAAGGCGGUUCUCUGGGCCUUACCUGACGCUGAGGAGCGAAAGCGUGGGGAGCGAACAGG